rnacentral:rRNA from 1 species
GAUCCUGGCUCAGGAUGAACGCUAGCUACAGGCUUAACACAUGCAAGUCGAGGGGCAGCACAGUGUAGCAAUACAUGGGUGGCGACCGGCGCACGGGUGCGUAACGCGUAUCCAACCUUCCCGAUACUCAGGGAUAGCCUUCCGAAAGGGAGAUUAAUACCUGAUGGUGUUUCAAUUCCGCAUGUUAAUGAAACUAAAGAUUUAUCGGUAUCGGAUGGGGAUGCGUGACAUUAGAUAGUAGGCGGGGUAACGGCCCACCUAGUCUACGAUGUCUAGGGGUUCUGAGAGGAAGGUCCCCCACACUGGAACUGAGACACGGUCCAGACUCCUACGGGAGGCAGCAGUGAGGAAUAUUGGUCAAUGGUCGGAAGACUGAACCAGCCAAGUAGCGUGAAGGAUGAAGGUUCUAUGGAUUGUAAACUUCUUUUAUACGGGAAUAAAACCUCCCACGUGUGGGAGCUUGUAUGUACCGUAUGAAUAAGCAUCGGCUAACUCCGUG